rnacentral:rRNA from 1 species
GGGGAAUAUUGGACAAUGGGGGAAACCCUAAUCCAGCGAUGCCGCGUGAGUGAAGAAGGCCCUAGGGUUGUAAAGCUCUUUUAGUGGGGAAGAUAAUGACGGUACCCACAGAAAAAGCACCGGCAAACUCUGUGCCAGCAGCCGCGGUAAUACAGAGGGUGCAAGCGUUGUUCGGAAUUACUGGGCGUAAAGAGCGCGUAGGCGGUUCUAUAAGUCAGACGUGAAAGCCCUGGGCUUAACCCAGGAGGUGCGUUUGAAACUGUAGAGCUAGAGGACGAGAGAGGUGAGUGGAAUUCCUAGUGUAGAAGUGAAAUUCGUAGAUAUUAGGAGGAACAUCAGUGGCGAAGGCGGCUCACUGGCUCGUAACUGACGCUGAGGCGCGAAAGCGUGGGGAGCAAAC